AUUGAGAAAACAGGUGAUGCACAAAUAGGGACGGCAGGCAGUACAUCAGUUGGGUGCCUGAUAAAUCAUCACAGCAAAACCACCUUGGCAGCUGACAGCCCUUCUGAAAAUAGAGACUUCAGUAAAGAAAUUGAGCUUACUUGUAGGCAGGCGCUUACUCCUGAGGCAGCAGCUAAAUCCAGAAGGUCUUGGGAGCAAGGGGGAGCAGGAGGUUUUAACAGCAGCACAGCCCGGCACUUUGGAAAUAAAGCCACCUGCAGGACUGUGAUAUACGGAACACCUUACAGACAGCACGUAGGAAGGACUACUGCAUUAUGCUCAGAGAUCUCAAAGCCCGGGAAAGUGGCAUCCUCACCCUUUACUUCUGACAAGGACCGGGAUGCAGCAAAGUGGCUGGCUUAAAAUCACGGAGGAAACCAUUGACAGUGUUAGAGGAAGAACAUUGUUCACCUGAUGCCAAGCAACAUCUCUGCCUGGUACAUCUCACAGUGCCUCUGAGAUCCACGAAAACCUACUGGACUCUGGCCCAGAUGCAGCUGCCUUUAGGUCUUAAAUGACUGCAAAGUGAUUUGAAUUUUCAUGAGGAUGAUGCUUGGCAUUAUUAGAAGCAACAGAUCAGAGACACUGACAGUGGAGAGAAUGAAUUGGAAAAUAAAAUGAGCACAUCUAAUAUAAAAGGACACUUCUUUUAAAUAUAAAUGAGGAAGAGCUUUGGUCAGCCUAGAUCAAAAUAUUUUAGUGCCCCAGAGCUCCACGUUAAUUAGUAGUCUCUUGAGGAUGCCUGCGUAAACAGCUCGACUUAAAGGUUUCGGCAAGUAUGACGCCUCAGUUCUCCUGAGAGGUGCUAUUUCUAAUACUGAAAAUACCUCACCUUUUAUGUUUUAGGUGGGCUUUUGACUAAGGCUUUCCUGUCUUCAGAAACUCCUCAGCUGGAAUCCUCAUUCAGGGAGGAGAGGGGGAGACAUUAAAUGAGACAAAUGCCAUGGCAUUAGCUCACAGGAUCCCUUUGGUUUAGUCUUCUGCUCAUCUUUUAUGCUCCUGCUCCAAGCAGAGGCACUUAUUUGCCCCAUUACCGUGGUGUCAGGGAGCCUCCCCAGCUUCAUGCUGCUGCUCCUGUGCAUGUCUCACUGUGAGGGCAGGGAGCUGCACACUGUGGCCCUACGGAGAGGUGGCCCUGGUGCAAGGCAGCAGCGCAGUUGUGUGUGUGAAGGCAGGCAGAAGUGACUCAGAGGGAGCAUCACGCUGCAUCUCCCCAGCGCAGAGUGGCACAGCAUGCCGGGACACACUGCUGUUGGGGCUGGUGGCGGCCACCCAGGGGCAGUGUCCUGGCCAGCCGGGUCAGGGCAGCACAAUGUACCGGCACACUCGCCUUCAGCUACCCAGGAACAUCACUGGGGCUUGGUCUGAGGGCUCUCGUGGGGCCCAUUCUUUUUUCUUAUUUUCUUUUCCUGCCUUUAUUUAUUUAUUUAUUUUUAACUGACUAGAUUACCUAUCUUUCCCCAUUGUUUCUUUUUUAUUUCCUUCUCACCUUUCUUCCAUCUUUCUUCACAUUCCUUUGAAAACAGCCAAAUGCUAGAGUUUGCUUCUUCCAGUGGGGAAGAUGCCUGUGUCCUGUGACAGCUCCAUUGCAAGCAGAUCUUUUCAGAGUCCCAGCCCACCACGUGUGUAAGGCCAAAUAAAUUAGGUUGUGCCAUAGCUAAUCAGUUUGUCCAGAGCAACGGUCUUGGCUCCUGCAGUGCGACUUUUGCAUUGAUACAGCAGAAUACAGACUGAGUUCAUCCUGACAGUAAAUUCUUGCUAACCUUUUAAACAUCAAUGACCAUAUAAAUAAGGGGCAAUAUUUACGUUGUCAAAUAACAAAGAGAUCUGAAAGGCUGUGUAAACACAGUAUGAUCAGUAUAUCCCAAAGAAAAGAGCCACAAAAAUAAUUAUUUUCCUUCUCUUUCACUCUAACAAAAAUUAAAUAAUUAAAAAAAACUCAGUUCUCAAGGAUGUAGAAAAAGACUUCUCUCCUGGUGCUGUUCUGAAGACGUCUUUGCACUGCUGAAUUCUCAAGGCAGCUCCGGUCCAUGCCGUGUACUUGGUCUUGCACUGAACUGCCGGAGCCUGGGCGCUCAGCACAUGAACAAAGACUUUGCAGGUUUAAAUAAGAUUGACUGGGCUCCUGAGAGUAGCAGGAAGAAGUUAUUACUGGAUUAGCCCAUGACACCAUCUUUCACAAUUUUUAAUAAAAGUGCCAGUCAUAGAGCUUUGCAGACUGAUCAGAGAAGUAUUGCUGACAAGUGCAAAUGGACACUAAAGAUUACCACAGUGAGAUGUUUCUGAUCCAAAUGCAGCUCGGAUUUCCA